UGUGGGACACACUAGGAUAUUUAUUUACAGGGUUUCAAGGUACAAACCUGUCAAUAGUAGACUAGAUCCGACAAACCAGAUAAAAUGAGAUCAGACUACUUCAUUUUCCUGCUCUUGCACUGAGAACAUCAGAAUUUUCUACACUUAAUGAUAGCCAUGAGACAGGUUACUUUCCUGGUUGCCAUCCUUCUGGUCAUACACUGUUUUUUAGGGAAUUGUGAAGUGGCCACCAAACAUAAUGAAUGUAAUACAGGAGUCCCAGGUAUCCCAGGAACACCAGGCCUGAAUGGUCAGCAUGGACCUCCUGGAAGAGAUGGUAAAGAUGGGGAACCAGGAACAAAUGGUGACCCAGGAACACCCGGUGAAAAAGGUCCACAGGGUCCUCCUGGUAAAGUAGGUCCUCCAGGAUUUCCCGGCGCUAAAGGAAUUUCUGGUCCUCCAGGUCAACCAGGCUUCCAAGGAGCGCCAGGGACAAGAAAAACCUAUGCAUUUCAUGUGGGACUGACAUCCUCUUAUCCGUCUACCGAUGGUCCAAUUAAAUUUGGAAAAGUUUUUUACAAUGAGCAAAGUAUUUAUAACACAGGAAGUGGAAAGUUCAUUGCUCCAGUAGACGGUCUUUAUUUUCUCACAUACCAAAUUACUGUCUAUAAUAAAAAUGUACAUAUUACCCUACAACAUAAUGGUAAGAUUGUGCAGUACAUGUAUCAUGUGUAUGGGUCCCAAACUAACCAAGCCUCUGGAGCCUCAAUUCUAGCGCUGAAACAGAAAGCGGAGGUUUGGCUGCAGGUUGUAGGAACAAACAAUGGUCUUUAUGCUGAUAGCGAUGAUGACACUACAUUCUCAGGUUUUCUGAUUUCAUGAAACCAGACCAGAUCAAAGUUCCUUUACAAUAAAAAUUUAAUUUACUAAUGGCAUCAAACACAUUAAAUUCAACUGCUACAAUCAUAAGCAUACAAAAUAACAUGCAGUCCUAAUUUGUAAGGGCUGAUUCACAUCUGCGUUCUGGUAGCUUCUUUGGCCGGAUAUAAAGCCGUGCAUGCACUUAUGCGGUCGGUUGGGGUCAAUGGGGUUCGGCAGUGCACGGAACAAAAAGCAUACCAAACCUAUAAAAUAGCACAUCAAAGCUAUAAAAUUGUUCUUGCGCUGUAUACAAUGAUUGCUUGACAAUAAAACAGCAUUUCUGCCACAGAA